UACGUAGGGGGCGAGCGUUGUCCGGAUUUAUUGGGCGUAAAGAGCUCGUAGGCGGUUUGGUAAGUCGGGUGUGAAAUCUCCACGCUCAACGUGGAGGGGCCACUCGAUACUGCCAUGACUCGAGUCCGGUAGAGGAGUGUGGAAUUCCUGGUGUAGCGGUGAAAUGCGCAGAUAUCAGGAGGAACACCGGUGGCGAAGGCGGGUCUCUGGGCAAUUCCUGACGCUGAGGCGCGAAAGCGUGGGGAGCAAACGGG
rnacentral:rRNA from 1 species